rnacentral:lncRNA from 1 species
UCUCUCUCUCUCUCUCGCUCUGUCUGGUCAGUUUAUUAUAUCUCUCUCUCUGUCUGGUCAGUUUAUUAUAUCUCUUGGGGCCUGGUAGUUUAUUAUAUC